CUUUCAGCUGGCUCUGAGGGCCGCAUCCUGCUCCAGUUGUGUCUGCACAAGGGUCACCUGGAAUGAUCUCAGAAUUUCCAUAUAAGCCAUAAAGAGCUGCUCUUUCCAGUGUCAGACUUGCUUUCUGACCCAACAGCAUCUCUUACCAGAGGAAGAUGCUUCCUUGUCUCCAGUAACACAAAGCAGUUUCCAGUUUGAGGGAGAAGAUGGGAAUGGGAAGAAAAGAGAAUUGAUGGUGCUCAUGCCUGUUUUUGGAAUGAUGCUGCAACACCCCGACCACAACCGAUUGCUGGGAGAGUGACAGAUAAUGAGAUCACCAUGAAACUGAGAGAACACAGACCGGCACUUUACAACAGACCCCUUGAUACAGCAGUGCUGAAUAUUGGCUGAUACUUCAGACAAAGGAACUGAAUCCAGUAGAAAACAAGCAUCCUUCCUCCCCAGAAGGAGGUGUGUGAAUGUGAUUGCUGCAGAAGCCACUGUCUCAUCAAGGAGGAAGAUGCACAGCCUGUCAGCUCCUCAUGAUCUGCUGGAAGCUAGGGUGUGGACAUUGGGACAGCAGCUGUGUCUUCCAACUGGAUCUAGGCUCUUCUCCAAGCAGGUACCCUGACCUCCACUGCAGAGC